AAUCAAUCACAGUUGGACAAGAUAAUCAUUCAAAUGGAUUCUCUUAUUUUGGAGAGAAUAUUAACAGGAAUAUAAAAAUAUCCAUGGAGCAUUGCAAACAUAGUGAAGGAUAUUGAGCAAUACAUGCAAGGCAAGAAAGUCAAGUAUCAACACAUUUACAGGGAAGAAAAUCAGUUAGCUGAUUAUCUUCCAAAUGUAGCCAUUGAUACAGGAGAGGUCAUCAUUACUAGUUUACAACAACUAUAACAGAAAGAAAAAGCCAUACUUAAAAGUGAUAAAUGGUGGUUCCCCUACUUGAGAAUUACAUCCAUAUGCAGUUAAAGGGCAAAGGAAGUCUUAGGCAGCAAAGUUUACAUGCAUCAUAUUUACAGGAAAUAAAAAUAGAAAAAGGAGAGCAUGUAGCUAGCCUAGUCUAUUACAGCCAACAAAUGGACUCUCAGCAUCAUGGGAGGAUCUAUGGAUCGAUUUGAGCUUCUUAAAUCUGACACCAAUAUCUUCGUGGGUCCAAGCAUCCUCUAUAUUCCUCCUUCCCAGAUCCAAACAUCAUAGGAUAAAAAGAGUAAGCUUCAGUGUCAGAGUGAAGAUCCGAGCUCAAAAAUGGAUAAAGGAAUAUUUACUUGAAGGUAGCAGCUUUGCAUAGUUGAUUAGAUCUCUCAGAGCUAAUAAAAAAGCUGGUCAAGGUCCCAUUCAGCGGAGAACUCAGCUAUUGAAGGUGUUUCAAUAGUAGGAGAAUAAUAAGAAGCAAAUUCAUCAAUAUAAAGGAAAUUCUACUUACUUUUGUAAGCUGAAUAAGCAAGUAGCACUUGAAGAAGAUGACACCUGUUUGAUGAUCCAAAAAAGAAGAAGGCAGAGCUCAAGGUUGAAGAAAGGCAGAUCCAUUUUAAGAGGAGGCGUGAAGUUAAUAGAGAUUAGGAAAAUGGGUGAUUUUGGAAACCCUACUGCCUUUUUGGGUCUUAAGAAAAUCCGGGUUGGACCGGGUCUUUCAAAUAGUAGUGGGCUUUUAAUUGUAAAAUGGGUUGGUCCGUUAAUUCUUGAAUAAUUUUUAAUAAAAUACCAAAUUAAACAAAAAAAAACUUUUAAUAUAGUAUAGAUUAGAGAUUGGAGAUAUAGAUUAUUAUUAUUAUUAUUACUACUACUACUAUUAUUAUUAUUAUUACUAUUACUAUUAUUGUCAUACCCCUUUUUAACUCCAAAAAGAUAUUAUUUUAAAGUUCGAAAGGGUUUUUAUUAUCAAAGUGACAAAAGAUAAAAAUUUAUUUCGAAAAGGACCUUUUAUAUUAAAAACUCAGAGGCGCCACUUGGCAUAAUCCGGUGUGCCAAAUCACCUUUGGAAAAUCCUUUUCAAAAUGAUUUGACUCUUUAAAACUGGUUUGCGAACAGAGAUUCCGGCUAAGAAUUUUGUUGAUCGACGGGAAGAUUUUAGGCACCCCUCGAUACCGUGGUUCGACCACGGUCACUGCGUAUCGGCUAAUUUGACACCAUGAAUGUAUAAAACCACACAAAAGCACGCAAAACAAUCAAUCAAGCAAACAAAAUGAAAAUAAUCCAAAAUUUGGUGUCCAGUCCAAUUUAUUACAUGCCGAAAUAGAAAAUACUGAAAUAAACCUACACUAACUUAU
rnacentral:lncRNA from 1 species